GGGGUUGUGGCUCAGCGGUAGAGCCCUCACCUAGCAUGUGCAGAGCCUUGGGUUCGAUCCUCAGAACCACA
rnacentral:tRNA from 1 species